rnacentral:rRNA from 1 species
CAGUAACAGGGAGCUUGCUCCGCUGACGAGUGGCGAACGGGUGAGUAAUAUAUCGGAACGUACCCAAGAGUGGGGGAUAACGUAGCGAAAGUUACGCUAAUACUGCAUACGAUCUAAGGAUGAAAGCAGGGGAUCUUCGGACCUUGUGCUCCUGGAGCGGCCGAUAUCUGAUUAGCUAGUUGGUGAGGUAAAGGCUCACCAAGGCGACGAUCAGUAGCUGGUCUGAGAGGACGACCAGCCACACUGGAACUGAGACACGGUCCAGACUCCUACGGGAGGCAGCAGUGGGGAAUUUUGGACAAUGGGCGCAAGCCUGAUCCAGCAAUGCCGCGUGAGUGAAGAAGGCCUUCGGGUUGUAAAGCUCUUUUGUCAGGGAAGAAACGGGAGUGGCUAAUAUCCAUUCUUAAUGACGGUACCUGAAGAAUAAGCACCGGCUAACUACGUGCCAGCAGCCGCGGUAAUACGUAGGGUGCAAGCGUUAAUCGGAAUUACUGGGCGUAAAGCGUGCGCAGGCGGUUUUGUAAGUCUGUCGUGAAAUCCCCGGGCUCAACCUGGGAAUUGCGAUGGAGACUGCAAGGCUAGAAUCUGGCAGAGGGGGGUAGAAUUCCACGUGUAGCAGUGAAAUGCGUAGAGAUGUGGAGGAACACCGAUGGCGAAGGCAGCCCCCUGGGUCAAGAUUGACGCUCAUGCACGAAAGCGUGGGGAGCAAACAGGAUUAGAUACCCUGGUAGUCCACGCCCUAAACGAUGUCUACUAGUUGUCGGGUUUUAAUUAACUUGGUAACGCAGCUAACGCGUGAAGUAGACCGCCUGGGGAGUACGGUCGCAAGAUUAAAACUCAAAGGAAUUGACGGGGACCCGCACAAGCGGUGGAUGAUGUGGAUUAAUUCGAUGCAACGCGAAAAACCUUACCUACCCUUGACACGUACGGAAGCCACGAGAGAUCGAGGUGUGCUCGAAAGAGAGCCGUAACACAGGUGCUGCAUGGCUGUCGUCAGCUCGUGUCGUGAGAUGUUGGGUUAAGUCCCGCAACGAGCGCAACCCUUGUCAUUAGUUGCUACAUUCAGUUGAGCACUCUAAUGAGACUGCCGGGACAAACCGGAGGAAGGUGGGGAUGACGUCAAGUCCUCAUGGCCCUUAUGGGUAGGGCUUCACACGUCAUACAAUGGUACAUACAGAGGGCCGCCAACCCGCGAGGGGGAGCUAAUCCCAGAAAGUGUAUCGUAGUCCGGAUCGCAGUCUGCAACUCGACUGCGUGAAGUUGGAAUCGCUAGUAUCGCGGAUCA